CCCUUAGAUGUCCUGGGCCGCACGCGCGCUACACUGAGUGUCUGAGAUACGAGUCUGCCUGGUCCGGCAAGGUCUAGGUAAUCGCUAAAAGACACAUCAUGCUUGGGAUAUAUUAUUGCAAAUAUUAAUCUUGAACGAGGAAUUCCUAGUAAGCGCAAGUCAACAGCUUGCGUUGAUUACGUCCCUGCCCUUUGUACACACCGCCCGUCGCUACUACUGAUUGGAUGUUUAAGCGAGGUUCUCGAACUGCUAGCGACUUAGCUUCGGUGAGGUCGCAGUGUGGGAAGUGAACCUAGCUUUGGUGUCUAGAGGAAGUAAAAGUCGUAACA
rnacentral:rRNA from 1 species